UCUGAUCCACAUUCCAGUCUAGAAGGUGGCGGUAAUGCACUUCAAGCUGUUUGCUAACCGCCAUUAAAUAACAGAAGAAGAAGAAUCUGAUUGGACAGUGACAGUCCAAUCACAGAGCAGAGUCAAAUUGUCCAAUCAGGUGGUAGCUGGGUUCUUUAAAUUAAUUUCCGGAGGCAGUUCUGUAAAGUUGGCUGUGGUGGAGAUUGAAGAUGGAUAGGAGCGGGAGCUGUUCUGCUACUUAGGUGAGGCGAAAAUUGUAGGAAAUCACAGCCACAGAACGCAUGGACAAGAAUAUGGGACUCCUACAGCUUAAACAGCCUUGGGCGUGUUGCCAGGAGGACCGACAGUGUUCAGGGCCCCUGUUACUCCUACAUAUGGACGUCAAUGGUUUGUGCACGUUCCCCUGCCUUGAAGCCAUCAACCCUCAUGAAAGCCUGGUGGACAAGACAUUUCUCCACGUGGGGGCCCCUUUUUAAAGGGCACUGGACUCAUAGUUCUUCACUAGGGAGAGUGAAGAACUAGGAGACUUGAUCCAGUGCCUGCCAUCUCAGACAUUAAAAAUCAGAACAAGAACAUUUUACAGUUGCAAGAGCUUUAUUAAAGAAACAGCAGAGCCUGGAAAAAUCACUUUAAACACUGCUGAGGUUUCGGUUAAGAUGGGAAAUGCCUCCUGGUGGAGUCAUCUUCUCCAUACUGCAUGGAGAAGAUGUGAGGUACUCCAACUUUGGCAGCUGGAUGGAGAGCCUGCAAAAGAAGAGUUUUGUAAAGCUUCAAUUUAAAUAAUAAAUGGUCCAUUUAUAAACAAACCUGCCCAUCUCUGUGCAUGUCCUCAAGAAUGCUGCUGCCGAUGGUCUGGCCACAGUGACAUCCGGUUAAGGAUCACCUAAGGGGGAACUGAAAAAGCUAGUUAAGCAUGAUAUGCUCUACAAUUUCAAUCCAUUGUUUUGGUUUUGAUGGGUUUGCUUAAUCUUGAAGCAAAAGGCUUUUAGCAGGCACAUUUGUACCUGGGCAGUAAACAUACUUUUAUAUGCAGACUGCAAAGUUCCAAGUCAAUAUUUGGACAAAAUCAGGGGGAGAAAAAACUGAAAGAUGUCAUCUCACCACAUGU